GGAGCCGCCCGCUGCGCAGGCCCCCGGGGGCCAUGCUCAGCACUGUGUAGCGCUGUGGGGCCUGUGCCUCCUCCUUUCGAGGGCCAAGGUUCCAGGGCCGAGCGGGAUCGGGAGCUGCUGGGUCCCUGGGCAGAGGAGAGAAUGGAAUUGAGAACUUCGAGGGGCACUGGAGCCUUCACUGCAGGAAGAGAGGCCAAGGAAGGAGCCAUGAGCCAAGAGACGGGGCUACAGAAAGACCUCAGUGCUUCCCAAGGGAGAAACUGGACAAAAAAGGACUUGGGUGUCCUUCCAUUCCCUGCCAAGAGGGGAAACUGAGGAGAGGCUUUAGCGAUGGAAAAAUCGCCCCUGACUCCAACACAGAGCUGAAGACCAUGGGAUCAUUGAGGCCACAGAGAUCUCUGAUGACCCCUCCCUUGAGUUGAAAGGGCACCCUACCCCCCACCCUCACCUUACCUGGAGCCACCCACAGCAGUUGCAGAAGCACCAAGCCCAGGAACUGAGUCUGCCCCAUCUCCCCUGUGGCGUGGGCCAGGCUGAGUCCCCCAGAGGGAGGUCAGCAAGGGGAUGGGGGACUAAAGAAAAGUUCUGCAAAGAGAGCAAUGGAAAGAGAAGAUCUAGAGGAAAGGGGAGCCCCCCUUGGGAGGCCUGGAGAGAAAAUGGGAAGGACCAGUGAUGGAGGCUGGAAUCCAGGCAGCAGGGGCUGGGGCACCCUGGGGACCGGGCAGGGUACAGCAGACAGCAGGCUGGAGGCAAGGCGGCUGUUUGGGAGCUGGAUGCUGCUCUGCUGCUCCAGGGCCCUGGCCCGUCCUUAUGUCUCCCUCCACCUUCCCCACUUCCCCUCCACACUGCCCCCCCACACACACCCGGGCUCAUGGUUUCACUUCGCAGUGGAAAGUCUGAGGGGGCUGAUUCCCAGCAGCGGCACCCUCCACCUCUGUGGUGGCAGUCUCCUUGUUUACUUCCUCAGACCUGGGUCUCCCCACCGCCCUCUCCUCUCCCCUUCCCUGCUCUGCACUUUCCCUCCCCUGCCAACCAUUUCUGCCCCAGCUACCUACUUGCCCAUUUCUAAAUUGGUUUCCUGGUGCCAACAUGCCAGACGCCUUCCUGUACUCCUCUCUUCCCUUGUUCCCUAACCUCUUAGUGCUUCCUCUCCCUGUAGCUCCGACUACCCACUGCCCAGUGGUCUGUGUGGCUCCUGGGUCAGCGUGGGUAGAAAGCUGCACUGCACCCAACAUAGACCUGAGCAAAGGGAUGCCAAGGUGGAGUGGGUAGAGCAAGUUACAUGACAAGGAAACUUGCGUGUUCUGUACUAAACACCAUACUGGACACUACGUUAUGGUUAACUUAUGAAAUCUAAUGAUUCUGUACAUUGUUCAGAUGGGGAAACUGAGGCUCAAAGAUGUUAGUUUACCAUGGCUAGGGAGUAUGAAGACAAAAACUGUGGGCUUUUUUUUUUUUUUUGUCUUUUUUUUAUCAGUACCGGGGAUCGAACUCAUGACCACACACUUACAAGGCAGGAGCUUAUGCCACUGAGCUAAAUACCCAGCCCCCUGAGGUUUAGUUUGACCCUGGGUAAAUUAAGGGUCUCUCCUGGUUACUUAACAGUAUCGACUGUGGGUGCCUCUCCCCUCUCCAGUUUUCUCCAAUGUUCUUACAAUGUUCUUAUAAUGUUCUGUAAUGAGGGCAAAGGGUAACACAAAUUUGGUUGGGGGGAAAUCCUGGAGCAAGUCAAAUCCAAUAGAAGGCUAUUUGAAUAAAGCAUGACACUGAAA